rnacentral:lncRNA from 1 species
AUGUCCUGUGGACAGAUGAGACAAGAACAGAAGUUUUCUGAACUAAGAUCUUCGGGAACCGCUCAUCAGUUUGCCUACUUGAUCAACACAUCCGACUUCCGGAUCCUGCGUAUGGAUGAGGACCAUGACCACAUGUAUGUUGGCAGCAAGGACCACAUCCUGUCCCUGGACCUUCAUGAUGUCAACAGGAACCCACGUAUUAUCCAUUGGCCUGUGUCUGAACGAAGGAGGAUGGAAUGUCUCGUAAGUGGAAAAGAUGCCUUUGACGAAUGUGCAAACUUCAUUCGUCUCAUUGAACCGUGGAAUCGAACCCAUCUGUACGUCUGUGGAACAGGCGCUUACAAUCCAGUGUGUACCUUUGCCAACCGUGGACACAAAACCCAGGAAGAAAUUUUCCAUUUGGAGCCAGGCACAGUGGAAUCUGGGAAGGGAAAGUGCUCAUACGACCCGAAGCUCAACAGUGUGUCAGCUUUAAUCAAUGGUGAACUGUAUGCUGGCGUCUAUGUUGACUUCAUGGGAACGGAUUCCGCCAUCUUCCGUACUUUGGGGACAAAGACCGCCAUGCGAACGGAUCAGUACAACUCCAGAUGGUUAAAUGACCCCACGUUCAUCCAUGUUCACCUCAUUCCAGAUAGCGCAGAGAAAAACGAUGACAAGCUUUAUUUUUUCUUCCGAGAGAAGUCCUCAGACAUGGGCCAGAGUCCCGUCACUCAGUCUCGGAUUGGACGCAUCUGUCUGAACGACGAUGGAGGUCACUGCUGUCUGGUCAACAAGUGGAGCACCUUCCUGAAGGCCCGGCUCAUCUGCUCUGUGCCUGGAGCUGACGGCACGGAAACGCACUUUGAUGAGCUCCGUGACGUUUACAUCCAGCCCACGCAGGACACCAAAAACCCAGUCAUUUACGGUGUCUUUUCUGUCUCUGGGUCUGUGUUCAAGGGAUCGGCUGUUUGCGUGUACUCUAUGGCUGACAUUCGCAUGGUCUUCAAUGGACCCUUUGCUCACAAGGAGGGGCCCAGUUACCAGUGGGUGUCUUAUACUGGGAAGAUUCCUUACCCCCGACCAGGCACAUGCCCUGGAGGUACGUUCACCCCCAACAUGAAGUCCACAAAGGAUUACCCAGAUGAAGUCAUUAACUUCAUGAGGAAUCAUCCCGCCAUGAACAAUGCUGUGUACCCAGUACACAAGCGCCCACUAGUGGUCCGUACCAAAGUGGACUAUGAGUUCACCACCAUUGCAGUGGACCAGGUGGCGGCUGCAGAUGGCAACUAUGAGGUGCUCUUCUUAGGAACCGACAAGGGAACAGUUCAGAAACUGAUUGUGCUGCCCAAAGAUGACCUGCAGACGGAGGAACUGGUUCUGGAGGAGGUGGAGGUUUUCAAGGUCCCGACUCCAAUAACGACAAUGAAGAUCUCAUCCAAAAGGCAACAGUUGUAUGUGUCGUCUGCUGUGGGGCUGACCCAGCUGGCGCUUCAUCGCUGUGACAUGUACGGCGAAGCCUGCGCCGAUUGCUGUCUGGCUCGAGAUCCUUAUUGCGCCUGGGAUGGAAAGUCCUGUUCACGGUAUUCCACCUCUCAAAAGAGACAUUUUGCAAAUUGCUCUUUUAAAAAAUGCAGAGGCUGUAACUCUGACUUUGGUUCUUAA